rnacentral:rRNA from 1 species
UUCGGAUCGGAGUCUGCAACCCGACUCCGUGAAGCUGGAUUCACUAGUAAUCGCGCAUCAGCCAUGGCGCGGUGAAUACGUUCCCGGGCCUUGUACACACCGCCCGUCAAGCCAUGGGGAGGCCGGGGGUGCUUGAAGUGCGUCGCCGCAAGGCGCGCCCUAGAGCCAAAACCGGUGACUGGGGCUAAGUCGUAACAAGGUAAC